CGGAGAAGGGGACGGACGGGCCCGUCGGCGGUGCUGUUGGCUCUGCCCGCACAAAGCAGUGCCUGGGGGAGCCGUGGGAAGAACACCGGUGCCCGGGCCCCGGCCCCAGGCGCAUCCCGACUCAGUGGGCCAGGCCCUGGGGCCAGCUGCUCGCCUGGGCCCGUGUGCCCGGCGCUCAGCUGCCGCGCCCUCUCUCUGCAGCGGCUACGGGUGCUGGGACCAUCACCACGAGUCCGACACGCUCUUGCAUUCUUUCCAAGUCCUGGCUGCGCUUCUGGAAUCUCCAGUCACUCGGGACAUCAUCUGCGACGUGGGCAUGUUUUUCUGGAAGCUUCCUCCGCACACGUGACCACGCAGCACGGUGUUCCCCCGUCACAUGCAGAGCCUCACGCCCUCCUGCUGAGUCCCGGGGGUGGCUCCGCGUCAGGGCAUCGAUGUGGCCCCCACAGCUGCCGUAGGUGGGCUGUUCUCAGGGCGUCUGUGCCCACCCGUGCGUGGCAGGGCCCCCGUGCUGGUCUCCUGCCCCUCCCCGGGCCCCACCUGGUGUCGGGGGCGUGGCACCUGUGCUUUGCCUUAGUGUCCACCUCCGUCGCUGCAUCCCGGCGGACCUUGCCCUGCUGUCUGCUCAGGGUCGGCUCAGCAGUGCGUGCGUCUCCCCCCCGCCCCGGGGAUGGGGGUGGGUGGCAGGUGCCAUCUCAGCGUCCCCGCGCACCUGUGGCUGCUGACCUCCAACACGAGCGCGGCCUGGGUUCUUCCUCGUGGUUCCCGGGGUCAGCAGUCAGGGUGGCUCCAGAGGCUCUGGGGCUGGGCAGUGUCCGGGGCUUUGCCAGCCCCGGCUCGUGGCCCCUCCCCGCAGCGCGUGCUGGUCACGGCUGCUGCCCCAGGGAGAGCGCGACCUGUCGCCUCGUCACCCCACCCUGCCAGGUCCCUUCUGUGGGAAGCAGGUGCCGGUCCCGGAGUGAGGGCCUGGGCGGCUCAGAGGGGCCGUGAUUCUGCUGCCCACGUGGACUCGUUCUGUUCGCUCUUGAAUUUCCUAGUCUCUGUGUUGUGUGUGUGUGUUUUUGGUUAAAGAUUUUUUGUUUUAUUUUAUUUGAAAGAGUUACAGAGAGAGGCAGAGAGAGAGAGAGAGAGAGAGGGAAAGAGGUCUUCCAUUUGCUGGUUCACUCCCCAGAUGGCUGCAAUGGCCGGAGCUGCGCCGAUCCGAAGCCAGGAGCCAGGAGCUUCCUUGGGUCUCCCACGUGGGUGCAGGGGCCCAAGCACUUGGGCCAUCUUCCACUGCUUUCCCAGGCCACAGCAGAGAGCUGGACUGGAAGUGCAGCAGCCGAGAUUAGAACCGGCGCUCAUAUGGAAUGCCGGCGCUUCAGGCCAGGGCUUUAACCCACUGUGCCACAGCGCUGGCCAUGUGUUUUUUUAAGAUCUUUCUUUCACUUAGUCUUUGCUGGCUUGGGGUUUAAACACCUGUUUUAAAAAUGUGUUUGGGGCUGCUGCUAUGGUGUUCUGGGUAAAGCUGCCGCCUGCAGUGCCCCCAUCCCAUGUGGGCACCGGUUCUAGUCCCGGCUGCUCCACCUCUCAUCCAGCUCUCUGCUGUGGCCUGGGAAUGCAGUGGAAGAUGGCCAAGUCCUUGGGCCCCUACACCCACGGGGGAGACCCGGAAGAAGCUCCUGGCUCCUGGCUCCAGAUUGGCUCAGCCAUUGUGGCUAUUUGGGGAGUGAACCUGCGGAUGGAAGACCCCCCCGCUGUGUGUGUGUGUGUGUGUGUGCGCCUCCGUGUAACUGCCUUUCAAAUAAACAAAUCUUUUUUUUUUUUUUUUUUUGACA
ensembl:lncRNA